CCAACCUGAAGCAAGUUGUACCAAUGGAAUUGAUGGAAGCCCCCAUUAGAACACUGUGCAUAACUGGGGUUGCAACUUCACCAUCGAAUACAGCAUCUAGUUCAUCAAAGAUGACCUAUGCUGAAGUGGUGAGACUUCCUGUGCAUGCAACAGGUCAGACCAAUCUAAAACCACGUUUGAUAUUAAGAGUAUGGAAAUGAAGAAAUCAAUUGGAGUCCCUGCAUUUAAAAGGAGGAGUGUGUCUUCAGUUGAGAUUGGUAGAAAAAAAGAAAAACAAUACAGGGUAAAGACGAGUAAUCUAGUGUUUAGGGUCACAAAGGAUGUGGCUGUUGUCCUACCAAACAAAGCUUUACUGUAA